rnacentral:rRNA from 1 species
CCUACGGGAGGCAGCAGUAGGGAAUCUUCCACAAUGGACGAAAGUCUGAUGGAGCAACGCCGCGUGAGUGAAGAAGGGUUUCGGCUCGUAAAGCUCUGUUGGUAGGGAAGAAAGUUAGAGGUAGUAACUGGCCUUUAUUUGCUGGUAAUUAGUUAGAAAGUCCCGGGUAACUACGUGCCAGCAGCCGCGGUAAUACGUAGGUGGGAAGCGUUGUCCGGAUUUAUUGGGCGGAAAGCGAGUGCAGGCGGUGCAAUAAGUCUGAUGUGAAAGGUUUCGGCUCAACCGGAGAAUUGCAUCAGAAACUGUUGAACUUGAGUGCAGAAGAGGAGAGUGGAACUCCAAGUGUAGCGGUGGAAUGCGUAGAUAUAUGGAAGAACACCAGUGGCGAAGGCGGCUCUCUGGUCUGCAACUGACGCUGAGGCUCGAAAGCAUGGGUAGCGAACAGGAUUAGAUACCCUUGUAGUC